CACGUAGGGCGCAAGCGUUGUCCGGAAUUAUUGGGCGUAAAGAGCUCGUAGGUGGUUUGUUACGUCUGCUGUGAAAACCUAGGGCUUAACCCUGGGCUUGCAGUGGAUACGGGCAGACUAGAGGUAGGUAGGGGAGAAUGGAAUUCCUGGUGUAGCGGUGAAAUGCGCAGAUAUCAGGAGGAACACCGGUGGCGAAGGCGGUUCUCUGGGCAUCACCUGACGCUGAGGAGCGAAAGUGUGGGGAGCGAACAGG
rnacentral:rRNA from 1 species